UGGGGAAUAUUGCACAAUGGAGGGAACUCUGAUGCAGCAACGCCGCGUGCGGGAUGACGGCCUUCGGGUUGUAAACCGCUUUCAGCCAUGACGAAGCUUUUGUGACGGCAGUGGUAGAAGAAGCACCGGCUAACUACGUGCCAGCAGCCGCGGUGAUACGUAGGGUGCGAGCGUUGUCCGGAAUUAUUGGGCGUAAAGAGCUUGUAGGCGGUUUGUCGCGUCGAUAGUGUAAACACGCAGCUUAACUGUGUGCCUGCUGUCGAUACGGGCUGACUAGAGGAGGGUAGGGGAGAAUGGAAUUCCCGGUGGAGCGGGGGAAUGCGCAGAUAUCGGGAGGAACACCAGUGGCGAAGGCGGUUCUCUGGACCUUUCCUGACGCUGAGAAGCGAAAGCGUGGGUAGCAAACAGG
rnacentral:rRNA from 1 species